rnacentral:rRNA from 1 species
CGGGUGAGUAAUACAUCGGAACGUGUCUUCUAGUGGGGGAUAACUGCCCGAAAGGGCAGCUAAUACCGCAUGAGACCUGAGGGUGAAAGCGGGGGAUCGCAAGACCUCGCGCUGGAAGAGCGGCCGAUGUCCGAUUAGCUAGUUGGUGAGGUAAAGGCUCACCAAGGCGACGAUCGGUAGCUGGUCUGAGAGGACGACCAGCCACACUGGGACUAAGACACGGCCCAG